rnacentral:rRNA from 1 species
GACGAACGCUGGCGGGGUGCUUAACACAUGCAAGUCGAACGGAGCGAAUGAAAGCUUGCUUUUAUGAGCUUAGUGGCAAACGGGUGAGUAACACGUAGACAACCUGCCGAUCAGAUGGGGACAACAUUCCGAAAGGAAUGCUAAUACCGAAUGGCGUGGAGGGAAGGCAUCUUCCUUUCAUGAAAGAUGGCCUCUAUAUAUAAGCUAUCACUGAUCGAUGGGUCUGCGUCUGAUUAGCUAGUAGGUAAGGUAACGGCUUACCUAGGCGACGAUCAGUAGCCGGUCUGAGAGGAUGAACGGCCACAUUGGGACUGAGACACGGCCCAGACUCCUACGGGAGGCAGCAGUGGGGAAUCUUCCGCAAUGGGCGCAAGCCUGACGGAGCAACGCCGCGUGAGUGAAGAAGGUCUUCGGAUCGUAAAGCUCUGUUGAAGGGGACGAACGUACAUAAGUUGAAUAAGCUUAUGUAAUG